rnacentral:lncRNA from 1 species
UGUAGGGCAGGAUCAAGACCAAGGGAUUUUGCCCACUUGGUCUUCUGCCCUCCAAAAUGGGCCUGCUCAGGCCUGCUCUGGGGUCAGCGUCCCCGUGGUUGGAGACUUUGCUGCCAGCUGCUCAUUAUCUGUGGCUGCUCUGAGGGGACCCUGCCAGCUCCCAAACAGGAAACGUGUUAAGAGAGCUGUAAUUAGAGCUGGGAGCCACAGGCCUGAGAGGUGCCUGCCGCAGCUUCAAGUGCAGACAUGCUGCCCGGGUGAAGUCCCUGGGUGGGAACCCAAAACCUAGAAGCAAGGAAGCUGCCACCAUGAUGCAGCGGGGAGUCCGAGGCCCUGGGAGGUCAUAUGACUCAUUCAAGGUCAUCCUGCUGUGGCAGAGAUGCGAUGAAGCCCUGGCUUUGUGAGUACCUGGUCUAACCUUCUCAUUAUUCUGGAGGAAGCUCUGAGACAAAGGUAGGGUGCAAGAGGCCAGGAGCAAAGGUAGAGGAGGCCUAGGCCUGGUUGGGUCCCGCCCCAACUGACCGUGACUUCCUUUAGCCUCUAUGAAUCUGUCGUGGAGGGAUGAAUCCCUGCUAUGCUCCCUUUUCAGGCUGCUGGGCCACCCAUGGUCAUUGCGGUAAUUUAAGAACACAGCCAUACGUUCUUCAACACUCCUCUUAUUGAGUAACAACCUCUGUGAUCCCUCCCCUUUAGUCUGGGCAGAUUUGUGACUGCUUCACCCUGCAGAGAAUGGCAGAAGAGAUGCCAAGUUAGUAAAGACCAUGCAGCUUUUGCUCACUGGCUCAUGUGCUCCUGGAGCCCUGAGCCACCACAGAGGGUGUAAGAAGAAUCACUGAUCGGGGGCUGCCAUGCUGUAAGGAUGCCCAAGCCACAAGGAGAGUCUGGGUUUAGGCACUCUGGUUAGCAGUCCCAGCUGAGCCCAGCCAUCAAGCCUCUCCUGCUGUUUGAGUUUUCCCAGCUGAGGCCUCAGAUGUCAUGGAGCAGAGACAAAUCUGCCCUGUUAUGCUCGGUCUGAACUCCUGGCCCAUAGAACCUGGGAGCAGGG